GAUAGGAAUGUGCCUUCGGGAACGCUGUGACAGGUGUUGCAUGGCUGUCGUCAGCUCGUGUCGUGAGAUGUAUGUUAAGUCCAGUACGAGCGCAAACCCCUAUCCUUAUUUGCCAGCGAGUAAUGUCGGAAACUAUAGGGAGACUGCCGGUCAAAAACCGGAGGAAGGCGGGGACGAGGUCAAGUCAUCAUGGCCCUUAUGGGUAGGGCUACAAACGUGCUACAAUGGAUGGUACAAAAGGCUGCGAAAGCGCGAGCUGGAGCCAAUCCUUCAAAACCAUUCUUAGUCCGGAUUGGAGUCUGCAACUCGACUCCAUGAAGUUGGAAUCGCUAGUAAUCGCGAAUCAGAAUGUCGCGGUGAAUACGUUCUCGGGCCUUGUACACACCGCCCGUCACGUCAUGGAAGUGGGUUGCACCAGAAGUGGUUUGUUUAACCUUCGGGGAGACGGUCACCACGGUGUGAUUCACAACUGGGACGAAGUCGUAACAAGGUAGCCCUAGGGGAACCUGGGGCUGGAUCACCUCCUUAAAAGAUAGUUGCUUAAGGUGGGCGUUCACACGAAUUACUACUCUUUGACCUAAAUAAGAUCUUUGAAGAUCUUAAACUAUGGUGAGUUCUUUAACAUUUUUAUAAGUUCAAUCAAGUCGCAUCAAAAUAUCAAUCCUUAUAGGAUUCGAUGUAAAUGAUGUGCAAAUGCCACCAACCUGUUUUUUUAAGACAUAAGUUUGGUGGUGAAACUGCAAAGUAAUUUUGGCGUAAUGUAAUAUAGAUAUACUUGAAUAAUCACUCAUUAAGUUGAUUGAUGUAAUAUGGUCAAGUAAUUAAGCGCAUACGGUGGAUGCCUUGGCAGCUAGAGGCGAUGAAGGACGUAGUGACUUGCGAUAAGCUUCGGGUAG
rnacentral:sRNA from 1 species